rnacentral:tRNA from 1 species
ACCUGGUUGGCUCAGUCGGUAGAGCAUGAGACUCUUGAUCUCAGGGUUUUGAGUUCAAGCCCCACAUUUGCGUA